UUAAAAGCAUGAACUAACACGGUGGUUGAAGUAUUAGGUGUUGAACUUUCUUAGUGGCGAACGGGUGAGUAACGCGUGGGCAACCUGCCCUCUAGAUGGGGACAACAUCCCGAAAGGGGUGCUAAUACCGAAUGUGACAGCAAUCUCGCAUGAGGAUGCCUGUGAAAGAUGGCCUCUAUUUAUAAGCUAUCGCUAGAGGAUGGGCCUGCGUCUGAUUAGCUAGUUGGUGGGGUAACGGCCUACCAAGGCGAUGAUCAGUAGCCGGUCUGAGAGGAUGAACGGCCACAUUGGGACUGAGACACGGCCCAGACUCCUACGGGAGGCAGCAGUGGGGAAUCUUCCGCAAUGGGCGAAAGCCUGACGGAGCAAUGCCGCGUGAGUGAUGAAGGAAUUCGUUCCGUAAAGCUCUUUUGUUUAUGACGAAUGUGCAGCUUGUGAAUAAUGAUCUGUAAUGACGGUAGUAAACGAAUAAGCCACGGCUAACUACGUG
rnacentral:rRNA from 1 species